GGAGAGGUGGCCGAGAGGCUGAAGGCGCUCCCCUGCUAAGGGAGUAUAGAGUUUGUAGCUCUAUCGAGGGUUCGAAUCCCUCCUUCUCCGCCA
rnacentral:tRNA from 1 species